UCAGAGAACUAGACCCCCACAUGCUUCAACUAAAGAUCCCGCCUGCUGUGACUAAGACCUAGCACAGCCAAAUAAAUAAUGUAAAAGAAAAACAAGCCCCAAAAAACUAAAAAUAAGUUUGGGAGAGCACUUUGGGGCAGUAACUUGGACCCAAUGAACCUCCAUAAUCCAAAUGUUUCUACUCAAAACUGAUGCUGGGGCACCUGUGGGUGCCCCAUCACCACUGCCUGGCCACCUUAUUGACACAGGUGGCCCUGGAAAUACUCCUCCCUGCACUGGAUUACUAAUGGAAAGGAGGAAACACCACACACCAGUGGAGACAGCACCCUUGUCAAAUACAUUGGCCCCCUUUCCAGCUCUCCCUGCCCAGCUGGUAAUUGGAUACACUCACAGAAUCCUGUUCAGCAGCAGUUUAGGAUGCGGGACGCCUCUUUCCUCCCAGAAGCGGGGACCUGCACUCACCCCUUGGGGAUUGCUUCAGUGGCUUAAAGAAAAGUUGUCCUUGUAUCCUACCCGUCUGCCUGUUCUGCAGAGCCUGCGUGGGACUUGGUGCCAUAUCCCUGGGCUUCAAAACCUCGGAAGCUGGCGGAAACUGGCUAAAACCAGAGGCAGGAUGUUUCCCCCAAACCCGGCCCCCAGCCUGGAGAGAACCUACUUUUCCCACUCAGCACCUCUAGCCUGGGAGCUUAUAAAGGGCUAACGAAGAAGCUCUAUAGGCCAACAUACCUUGGUUCUGUUUCCAGCGCCCUCACUAAAGGGCUGCUUGGUGACCUCAGGCAAAUUACUUACCUACUCUGAUCCUUAGUUGCUUCGUCUAAAAACGGAUGGAAUUGGACCAAGUGACUAUUAAUACUAAGGUCUUUUUCAGCUCUGAUGGUCAAAGAUGCUAAUGUUCUAUUUCCUGAGGAUAUAAAAAUAUAACACAAUUUUUUCCUUUAGGAAAAUUAUAUACUUAGAGGGAAGAAGACUAACAAGUAGAAAACAUACCUCAGGCUUGUUUCUCAUAUGGCAAAACAAAACCUAAUACAGAGUGUAUUUAAAAGAUGCAGUGCUUAUUAAAAGUUCUCCAAGUGCAAGGCAUUUAAAGCACUUGACUAGGAAUGGAUAUGGAGAAGGCAAUGGCACCCCACUCCAGUACUCUUGCCUGGAAAAUCCCAUGGACGGAGGAGCCUGGUGGGCUGCAGUCCAUGGGGUCGCUAGGAGUUGGACACGACUGAGCGACUUCACUUUGACUUUUCACUUUCAUGCACUGGAGGAGAAAAUGGCAACCCACUCCAGUGUUCUUUUGCCUGGAGAAUCCCAUGGACAGAGGAGCCUGGUGGACUGCCAUCUAUGGGGUCGCACACAGUCGGACACGACUGAAGCGACUUAACAGCAGCAGCAGUAGCAGGAAUGGAUAACAACAGUCAAAUAAAGGAAUGAACAGUCUGCUGUUUCUAAAGACU
ensembl:lncRNA